UGCCCCAUGGCUGAGUUGGUUACAGCGUCCGACUGUUAGCAAUAUCAGGAUCAUCGGAAGGUCGAGAGUUCGAGCCUCUCUGGGGCAG